GUCAAGUCCUCAUGGCCUUUAUGCCCAGGGCUGCACACGUGCUACAAUGGCGUGAACAGAGGGAAGCGAGACCGCGAGGUGGAGCCAAUCCCAAAAAGCACGCCCCAGUUCAGAUCGGAGGCUGCAACCCGCCUCCGUGAAGGUGGAAUCGCUAGUAAUCGCGGGUCAGCAACACCGCGGUGAAUGUGUUCCUGAGCCUU
rnacentral:rRNA from 1 species